rnacentral:lncRNA from 1 species
GGUUCUGGACCCCACAAUCUUAUCGCACGUGCGAAGUGUGGGAUCUUUUCCCUUUAUUACUAGUAAUGAUACAAAUUUUAAAAAUAAAUUAAAUAUUUAAAAAGAAAAAGGAUUCCCGUUGCGGGCCUAGUUACGGUUUCUCAUUUUGCUAGCUUUGUUUUUGUCCCCUUUCUUUCUUCAGCUGCUGUCUGUGUACGGACAAAUAAGCAUGGGAUGGCAGUGAAUGAAUAAAUCUAUUGUGGGACCCUCGUUAUUACAGUAUUUUUUUCUUUUAUUAUUUUCUUGCGUUGUUUCAAAGAACUAAAAGAAAUUGAUUUAUUUAACUAAUAAAACGUAAAUGUUAA